rnacentral:misc_RNA from 1 species
UCCUUUGGAUGUCUUCCUGUAAGUUAACUUCUGGUGGUUGCCAGCAGAUUGCUCGAGCUUUGCCCCGUCUGGUAGUGGAAGUGAUUAAUGAUGAAGCUGAUGAAGACAUGGGUAAUUUUGUUGAUAAGUUAUACAUGUAUAGAUCUCUUGAAGGGCCAAGAGAUGAUGCACCAAAGGUUGUUUCCAUCUUGUAGGCAUUUGCACUGCAGGAAGAUGUAUCAGAUAUUCUUAUUUUGGCUAUUGGACAAGUGGCAAGCAUUUUUUUUCUUUUUGCGGGAAUGUUGAAUUCAGGAAGAACUGGUUAUAUUAGCCCGCAAGGUCUAUAAUUUUUGUUGGUGAAAGUUGAGUAAACAACUUCUGCCCUUGUCCUGUGAUGUUACGUAUGGCAUUCAAAGCAGAAACUCUAUGAAGGACCACAAUUUUUUUCUUUGCUUUGGUUCUUGAGGAGGACUCGAUCAAGAAGGGGCUAAUGAAGAAGAUAGAUCUCUCUGUAACAAGUAGACCACUUGAUCUUGUUUGUAUUCAGAUGCUUCUAAAUUUUUAUGUUUCUUUUCCGUCAUACUCAUUUGAUCAUAAACGAGAAGGCUGCCAGAGAAAAGGGAUGGAAGGCGCAUUUUGG